AAAUACUCUAAACUACAAGGUGGCCACGGUAUCUUCAGAGGGUCAUGGAGCUCUGCAAAGCUUGUCUUAAAACUGAUUAAGUUCUUGGUGAAGGUUCCGAAGAUGAAGGUGGAGAAAACGAAAAGAGACAGCUGAGAGAGGGGUCAGAACCAAGCAAGGGGACGAAUGAGAGUGAACCUGAGACACUCAAGCUUUAAGGAGAGGAACUGUCUCCAUGAAGGCCCCACAUUUGAGAACACUGGGUAACAGCCUAAGUGGUCUCCUACGGAUUCCUUCUUUUGAGCAGCUUGUUCCUAGCCUGGCACUCAAUGAACUUGCCACCAACAGAGAAGCAGGCCCUGAAUCAUGGUUACCACUACUUUUGCAAAGAGAGCCUGAGGAACUGAAAGGCUGAUCCUCAGUAGCUUAUGGGCACAUGUACCACAGACCCAAGCCUCAAUAGCCACUUACACUGGCCCUGCUUGAAAUUCUACCUCCAGGCAACAAUGCAGAAGGCAGCAGAACUCCUGAAAAGGACCACGGGGAUAAGGCCCAAAGAAAGGAGGAGAAGAGCUCUCAGAAUUUCCAAUUAGCACAUUUAAGCAGUGAAAACGUAUCAGACCUGACCAGAAUACAAUACAUUGUAUGAAUAGGACGACAAUUCCAAUUAGUGGAAGAUACAAAACCUCAGCUCUCAAUGUGAAAACCCACCAGAAA